UGGGGUAUAUUGGACAAUGGGCGAAAGCCUGAUCCAGCCAUGCCGCGUGUGUGAAGAAGGUCUUCGGAUUGUAAAGCACUUUAAGUUGGGAGGAAGGGCAGUAAGCGAAUACCUUGCUGUUUUGACGUUACCGACAGAAUAAGCACCGGCUAACUCUGUGCCAGCAGCCGCGGUAAUACAGAGGGUGCAAGCGUUAAUCGGAAUUACUGGGCGUAAAGCGCGCGUAGGUGGUUCGUUAAGUUGAAUGUGAAAGCCCCGGGCUCAACCUGGGAACUGCAUCCAAAACUGGCGAGCUAGAGUAGGGCAGAGGGUGGUGGAAUUUCCUGUGUAGCGGUGAAAUGCGUAGAUAUAGGAAGGAACACCAGUGGCGAAGGCGACAACCUGGGCUCAUGCUGACACUGAGGUGCGAAAGCGUGGGGAGCAAACAGG
rnacentral:rRNA from 1 species